UACGGGGGGGGCAAGCGUUGUUCGGAAUUACUGGGCGUAAAGGGCUCGUAGGCGGCCAACUAAGUCAGACGUGAAAUCCCUCGGCUUAACCGGGGAACUGCAUCUGAUACUGGAUGGCUUGAGUUCGGGAGAGGGAUGCGGAAUUCCAGGUGUAGCGGUGAAAUGCGUAGAUAUCAGGAGGAACACCUAUUGCGAAGGCAGCUCGCUGGGACGUAACUGACGCUGAGACGCGAAAGCGUGGGGAGCAAACAGG
rnacentral:rRNA from 1 species